UGGAGAGUGUUCUUAAUAGUCU
rnacentral:miRNA from 1 species